UUUCAUCGCUGGACUGGGCUUUCUUUCAUUGGUUUUGUGAACAAGCUUUAAUCAAAAUAUGGAUAUAUUGCGAGUAAAGCUUGUUCACAAAACCGAACAACGAAAGGCCAGUCCAACGAUGAAA